UUGGGGUGUAGGCAAGUGGAAAGCCAUCCGCCUUUGGAGCGGACAUUCGGAGGUUCGAAUCCUCCCACCCCAGA
rnacentral:tRNA from 1 species